AGGUGCAGAUUGAAAAUUAAAAAAGGAACAAAAUUUUAAAAAAUAUUUGGCAAUUCUUAUCAACGAACUUGUAUGUCUACAAAGCGAUGCAAUUUCAUCUCCAUCUAUUACGCCAUUCUUUCAAAUUGAAAAUCUCCCAAAAAGCUUGAAACUUGGGUGAAGCAGCAGCAGCAGCAGCAAAGGGAGAAAGAAAGAAGGAUAGCUAUGUCAGACUAUCUCCCAGAAGAAGUGGUGCUGGAGAUAUUACACAGAGUACCUGUCAAAUCCCUAAUUCGAUUCAGGUGCGUUUCAAAAUCAUGGAACUCCCUAAUCACAAACCCUAAUUUCAUCAAUUCCCACCUCACUCAAUCACUCCCACUUUCCCCCAAUUCCAACAAAUUAAUUGUUAGGCACUGCACUUCUAGACCCAAUAUAGAGCACUACAAAUUGUUUCACGAUAACAAUGACUCCUCAUUUGAGCAAAUUCAACAGCUUGAGUUCCCACUAACCACUCGUCGUAUCCACCAUUUUAUGCUAGUCGGUUACGUGAAUGGGUUGUUCAGUUUUCAUGAACAAGACCGCUUUAUUCUUUGGAAUCCCUCUGUUAGAAAAUUCAUUACGCUUCCCAAGCCUCGCAUUAGCGCCAAGACUCACGGCCAUGUUUCCACUCAUCUAGCAUUGGGGUUUGAUCCGAAAACCAAUGACUAUAAAGUGGUGAGCCUUGCCUUUCCGUGUAACAGUCAUCGCCUGCCCGAGAUACCUAUGGUUGAGGUUUACUCUCUAAGUCAGGGCUCUUGGAGAAUAACUAAUGCUGGUGACUCAUUUCCGCCUUGGACUAGUUUUAACAAUUACUUGGUUCCAGAAGCUUCUUUAAAUGGGGCUGUACAUUUUGCAGCCCAUCAUGGCAAUACCUUGAGUCCUUUAGUUUUAUCGUUUGAUUUGGGUGACGAGGCUUUUCGUGUGAUUUCGGUGCCAAAUGGUGCUUUCAGUGGGAGGGAUGAUGUUCAUACCUCGGUACUUGGGGGAUUGCUUUCGCUGUUAUGUCAUGAUGCUCAUAAGGAUACAGUUAAUAAGCGUUGUUCCAUUUGGGUGAUGAAAGAGUAUGGCAUUGUUGAUUCUUGGACUAAACUGUUCACUGUUGAUCUCAACGGAGAAAUUGUGAGGGUAUUAGGUCUGCGGAAGAAUGGACGUAUAUUAGUACAUACAAACGUACCAGGUGAUUGGGAGCUCUCUUCAUAUGACCCUGAGAGCCAACAAGUUAAGAAGUUGGGGAUUUGUGGGAGGCAAUACUAUUUUUGUGUUGAUAAUUACAUGGAGAACCUUGUCUUACUUGACAAACCAAAUGAUGUAGUUUCCAGAAGGGGCAGGAAGAGGAAAUGCAGGUUGACUUCAGACAAAGAGAUAUGCCAGCUACAAGAGGCAAAACACCUGCUACAAGAGAUACUACAACAUGCGAGUGUAUACGAGCUACAAUUGGACAUAAUACAUCAACAAUAGACAAUAAUACAUCAACAAGAGGCAAUUCUAUUGCCUCUACAAGAGGCAAUACUACACGAUGGGAGAGCACUCCAGCUACAAGAGGCAUUGCUAUAUGAACUGGAGACAAUACUACAGCAGCAGACAGAGAAAAUAGCCACUUUGAUAUCACAAAUUGAGAUAAUGGAGACUGCAGAAUCAAAAUUGGUCUUUUUAAUUCAACGAUUAAAGGGCCAGGCUGAAGUAGAGACAAUGCUACAACAGAAGACAGAGAAAAUGACCUCUUUAAAAUCACAAUUGGAGAAAAUGGACACUAUAAAAUCAAAAUUGGUAUCUUUGAUUCAACAAUUCAAGGGUCAGGCUGGAGAGAUGUUUAGUGGCGUUGGAGAUCAAAGUUCAGCACAAGUACAACAAAGAUCCUCUUCUGCAGGGCAAGAAAUGUGACCUUGCGGUGGGCAGUAAAGUUUUAUGCAGUACAUGGACAUAAUUUUUUUUUUGAAAAUUAUGGUCUUGAUUUGACACUCGUAAAAUUUGUGAUUAAUAUGACAGGUUUUUUUUUUUUUUUUUUUUUUUUUUUUUUUUUUUUUUUUUUUUUUUUUUUUUUUUUAAGUAAACUUCAAUGAAUUUUGUAAAUUAUGUAUUAUGAUAGGACAUUCUUUUAGAUGG